AGAACGAACGCUGGCGGCGUGCCUAACACAUGCAAGUCGAACGAGAAAGGGACUUCGGUCCUGAGUACAGUGGCGCACGGGUGAGUAACACGUAGGUAACCUACCUCUAAGUUUGGGAUAACCUGUCGAAAGAUGAGCUAAUACUGAAUGAGACCACAGUUUCCUCGGAAGCAGGGGUCAAAGGUAGCCUCUAUUUAUAAGCUAUCGCUUAGAGAUGGGCCUGCGUACCAUUAGCUAGUUGGUGAGGUAACGGCUCACCAAGGCAAAGAUGGUUAGCUGGUCUGAGAGGAUGAUCAGCCACACUGGAACUGAGACACGGUCCGAGACUCCUACGGGAGCAGCAGUGGGGAAUAUUGCGCAAGUGGGACGAAAGCCUGACGCAGCAACGCCGCGUGAGUGA
rnacentral:rRNA from 1 species